UACCAUCUAUUGAGAAUCAAGGAGGAGAAUAUUUCGGUCACUGUUGGAAAAUUGUGUAAUUGUAUUGUAUUGAUGAAAUUAUUUGAGAGUAGGAGGAAAUAAAGAAAUCAUAAUCCUCAUCUUUUCAUCGAUUGAGCUAUGACCAAUUUAAAAGACUAAAUUUUCUUUUAAGGGGGGGAGAGUGUAAUAUCCCUCACUUUUGAAAAUUUAUUAAUAAGGAUUUAUAUGUAAAUUGGAGGACCUAUAUGUAAAUAUAGAAAUUUCAAGGACUAAACUGUUAAGUUGCAAAAAGAAAAAAAUAAAGAAAAUCAAAAAUUUCAGUUUUAUCCCACUGCCUCCCACGCUCUUUGUUUCCGAGAAACAGAGAGAGGAGCGGUGGGGCGUGGGGAGAAGAAGAGAGGAAGAAGAGGGAGAAGAGAAGAAGAAGAAGAAGAAGAAGAAGAAGAAGAAGAAGAAGAGAG
rnacentral:lncRNA from 1 species